GACGAACGCUGGCGGCGUGCUUAACACAUGCAAGUCGAACGGAAAGGCCCUGCUUUUGUGGGGUGCUCGAGUGGCGAACGGGUGAGUAACACGUGAGUAACCUGCCCUUGACUUUGGGAUAACUUCAGGAAACUGGGGCUAAUACCGGAUAGGAGCUCCUGCUGCAUGGUGGGGGUUGGAAAGUUUCGGCGGUUGGGGAUGGACUCUCGGCUUAUCAGCUUGUUGGUGGGGUAGUGGCUUACCAAGGCUUUGACGGGUAGCCGGCCUGAGAGGGUGACCGGCCACAUUGGGACUAGGAUACGGCCCAGACUCCUACGGGAGGCAGCAGUGGGGAAUAUUGCACAAUGGGCGAAAGCCUGAUGCAGCAACGCCGCGUGCGGGAUGACGGCCUUCGGGUUGUAAACCGCUUUCGCCUGUGACGAAGCGUAAGUGACGGUAAUGGGUAAAGAAGCAACGGCUAACUACGU
rnacentral:rRNA from 1 species